rnacentral:misc_RNA from 1 species
UCUCUACUUGCGUAGGCAGUCUCACUAGAGUCCUCAACUGAAUGUUAGCAACUAGUGACAGGGGUUGCGCUCGUUGCAGGACUUAACCUAACACCUCACGGCACGAGCUGACGACAACCAUGCAGCACCUGUGACGGUGUCCCGAAGGAAAACCGUGUUUCCACGGCUGUCACCGACAUGUCAAGCCCAGGUAAGGUUCUUCGCGUCGCAUCGAAUUAAACCACAUGCUCCACCGCUUGUGCGGGCCCCCGUCAAUUCCUUUGAGUUUCAGCCUUGCGGCCGUACUCCCCAGGCGGGGUACUUCCUGCGUUAGCGCCGGCACCCAAGGGGUCGCUCCCCCAGGCACCUAGUACCCAUCGUUUACGGCGUGGACUAC